CUCUUUUUUAGUUUCCCCGCCCUUGUGAUUGUCUUAUGUGUUUCACCUGUUUCCCCGGCCUAGUGUCACCUGUUCCUUAUUUUCUCAUUACACUGUGUAUUUACUCUAUGUGUUUU